GAUGAAGAACGUAGCGAAAUGCGAUACGUAAUGUGAAUUGCAGAAUUCAGUGAAUCAUCGAGUCUUUGAACGCACAUUGCGCCCUCUGGUAUUCCGGAGGGCAUGCCUGUCCGAGCGUCAUUGCUGCCCUCAAGCACGGCUUGUGUGUUGGGCCCCGCCCCCCGAUCCCGGGGGGCGGGCCCGAAAGGCAGCGGCGGCACCGCGUCCGGUCCUCGAGCGUAUGGGGCUUUGUCACCCGCUCUGUAGGCCCGGCCGGCGCUUGCCGAUCAACCAAACUUUUUUCCAGGUUGACCUCGGAUCAGGUAGGGAUACCCGCUGAACUUAACCAUAUCAAUAAGCGGAGGA
rnacentral:misc_RNA from 1 species